ensembl:lncRNA
AAAUAUGAUCAUUCAUCCCUGGGGUAUGCGAACAUUCAGAGGAAGGACUGCUUCUGAAGAGAAGCCAGCAAAGGAGAACAAAGUUGCAGCCAGGGGGUAGAAGGAAAGCCUGGGAAAGUCGUCACGAACUUGAGAGAGGAAAGUAUGCAGGGGAACGCUUUCCUUCAUCUGAGUCAAAAGCUGCGGAACAAAAAAGCAACAUGAGAACAAAGACCUGGAUGCUGGAUCUGACAACCUUGACAAGCGACUCAGGAAGACAAGCUACAGGUGGAGGCAGAACUGCUUGAAUACUUCAAAUCAGAGGACAAGUCAUCAUGGGCCCCUGUCCUCAGAGGAAU